UCCCGAUAAAUUUAUUUUUAGGCGAAAUAAAAACACGGUUAAAAAAUCAACAGAGUUCGGGUGAUUUAAAGGGGAAAAAAGGACGGGCAUCCAUCGCACGUUGGUGCUGCCACUGUUAUAGGUGGGAAGCUGGGAAGUUAGGAUACAGACGGGAAUUUCGUGUAUAUCCGUAAGUAACGAUAAACACGAGGAAUGUUCAGUUGAUAGUGUUGCCUUGUCAACAAUAAAUAUAUUUCAUAUUAGGGUAAAAUGAUUACGACAAUGUGCGUUUCCGUGACAACAAUGAUUGUUUGAAAAAGAUUAAAAUAAUAAAAACUCACAACAAAAAAUAAAUAAAAACAGUUUCCGAUGACAACCUGAUUUUUAAUCAUUUGUUCUUUUUUUAACCUAAAGAACCAAGUUUUUCGCAUUAUCACGAAUAUUAAUGAGAAUUUCAAAAAAUAAUCUCUUUAAAAUACCGUCCGUAGCACAUUUCCUUACAGAAAAAUUACUACACUCCAAUACCAGAGUAAGCUUACCGGUAGAAAAAUUGUUCACAUA